ensembl:lncRNA LINC01482 long intergenic non-protein coding RNA 1482
CUCCUGUUCCUGUGUGGUGACCUGGGAUUCAGUCUGUGAGGCGGGAAAUUUGCUAGCAGGACUCUCUCUUGCUCUGCUGAGAGGUUUCACUGUCACCUAAGCUGGAGUGCAGUGGCACAGUCAUGGCUCACUGCAGCCUCAACCUUCUGGGCUCAAGCAAUCCUUCUGUCUCAGUCCCUCAAGUGACUAGGACUACAGCUGGAUCUCCUGCUACACAACAGGAAAAUCCUAACUGAUGCUGGGUCACAGAAUACAUCCUGGCUCAUCAUUUCAGACUUCUACUCAAGAGCUUUUAUGAUGCUGCUCUGUCGACUCCCAUAAGACCUCCCAAACCCAGGCUCCAGGCUGACAUCUCACAGUUCCUCAAGGUGGACCAUCUCCUUCUGUCUGACCAACCCUAUUUAUCAUCCUCCUUACAUGCUGUGCUCAUUCCUUCAAUGACUCAUUCUACACUUUUAGCUACUCAUGGACUAUUGAACACAAAUGUACAGCCACUUCCAGGGUUUUCUAGGAAACUUUGUAUCACUCACUUUCACUUUCUGCUGGGUCAGCUGCAGGUAUGAAUUUGUUCAUCACAGAUUUAGACCAACC